rnacentral:rRNA from 1 species
UACGUAGGGUGCGAGCGUUAAUCGGAAUUACUGGGCGUAAAGUGUGCGCAGGCGGCCGAGCAAGUCGGGUGUGAAAGCCCCGAGCUUAACUUGGGAACUGCGCUCGAAACUACUUGGCUAGAGUGUGGCAGAGGGAGGUGGAAUUCCACGUGUAGCGGUGAAAUGCGUAGAGAUGUGGAGGAACACCGAUGGCGAAGGCAGCCUCCUGGGCCAACACUGACGCUCAGGCACGAAAGCGUGGGGAGCAAACAGG